rnacentral:rRNA from 1 species
GAUGAACGCUGGCGGCGUGCCUAAUACAUGCAAGUAGAACGCUGAAGGAGGAGCUUGCUCUUCUGGAUGAGUUGCGAACGGGUGAGUAACGCGUAGGUAACCUGCCUGGUAGCGGGGGAUAACUAUUGGAAACGAUAGCUAAUACCGCAUGACAACAGUUAAUGCAUGAUAACUGUUUAAAAGGGGCAACUGCUCCAAUACCAGAUGGACCUGCGUUGUAUUAGCUAGUUGGUGAGGUAACGGCACACCAAGGCGACGAUACAUAGCCGACCUGAGAGGGUGAUCGGCCACACUGGGACUGAGACACGGCCCAGACUCCUACGGGAGGCAGCAGUAGGGAAUCUUCGGCAAUGGACGGAAGUCUGACCGAGCAACGCCGCGUGAGUGAAGAAGGUUUUCGGAUCGUAAAGCUCUGUUGUAAGAGAAGAACGAGUGUGAGAGUGGAAAGUUCACACUGUGACGGUAUCUUACCAGAAAGGGACGGCUAACUACGUG